AUCACCUGGCCAGCAACCUGCAUGGAACAUGGAAUUCAUCAUCUUCAACAAUGAAGAUCUGUGGCAUUUGUAGUCGAAGAAUAUAAUGCUGGUAAACGUGACCUGUGGCGAAUUUUACUCGAGACAUCGAGAAAACGAAGAGAGUGGAACAGACGCAUGUCACAAGGAAGAGCCAGAAGACCGUGACGGAGUCCUCGCCUUCGGUUUUCGACGAUCCAACGUUGAAUCAUCAGAAUUCUACGAAGCCAGACGAGGUCGCCAACCUCGACUGCGUCU